AUAAUCAAGGGACUUGGACAAGAGCUCCAUAGUGGGCUAAGCUGAAGCGACAAGCAAUAGGAGGUGAUCUACAUGAGAGCACCUAAUUUCUAACAGAGCCCAUCUUCAUAUAAUGUUUCAAAUCACUAGAACCAAUGCUACCACGAAGGAGUUCUUCCAUUGCCAAGCAGGAUCUGCUGGAACUCCAAGGCCUUCUUCCUCAGGGACACUCAGAUGUGUUAUAACCACUAAGAAUCAGAUGAGCCCUGUAUUCUGUGUACUUCAAUGCUUCUGCUGGGACCUGAAAGCAUGAAACCACAAAUAACCUCUGAGAUCAAGAGUGUAAAAUUUUCUAAAUGACAAAAGUGGAAA